UGAUAUUCAGUUCCUGGCCAAACAACAGCCAUGAAGAUACUUUAUCUUCUUUUUGCUCUCUUCUUCUUGGUGGCACAAAGUAGUGCUCAAGCUUAUGACCGGGGUAUCAUUGGAACUGCGGCAUGUUUCGCUCGUAGGGGUCGAUGCUACUUUUUCCGAUGUCCUCCCAGGACUAGACGCAUUGGACUCUGCACAUGGAUUAAUCCUUGUUGUAGACGGGGGUGAGUGAUGGCAUCAGAGAUCGUCAGUCCAGGACCUCUGAGAAUCUGGCACACGACGCCUUGCUUCUAAAAUCCUUGGAUCCUUUUCAUCUGGGCUGUGAAGAAUCUUGUGAGCUGGAAAAAAUCCACAGAGGAGCCCUUGUAUCACCCAUAAUAGCUUGUUCUUCUCCAUUUAAUAAAAGUAACUGGUUGUGGUGGUGUAUUGCAAA